GAGGAAUAUUGGUCAAUGGGCGCAAGCCUGAACCAGCCAUCCCGCGUGAAGGAAGAAGGCGCUAUGCGUCGUAAACUUCUUUUCCGGAGGAAUAAAAUUUCAUACGUGUACGGGACUGAAGGUACUCUGGGAAUAAGCAUCGGCUAACUCCGUGCCAGCAGCCGCGGUAAUACGGAGGAUGCGAUCGUUAUCCGGAUUUAUUGGGUUUAAAGGGUGCGUAGGCGGAAAAAUAAGUCAGUGGUGAAAACCUUCAGCUCAACUGGAGACUUGCCAUUGAUACUGUUAUUCUUGAGUAUAGUUAAGGUAGGCGGAAUGUGUAAUGUAGCGGUGAAAUGCUUAGAUAUUACACAGAACACCAAUCGCGAAGGCAGCUUACUGAGCUAUAACUGACGCUGAUGCACGAAAGCGUGGGGAGCGAAC
rnacentral:rRNA from 1 species